rnacentral:rRNA from 1 species
UACGUAGGUGCCCAGCGUUGUCCGGAUUUACUGGGCGUAAAGAGCGCGCAGGCGGUCGUUCAAGUCGAGUGUGAAAGCCCCCGGCUCAACUGGGGAGGGUCCCUCGAUACUGAUCGACUUGAAGGCAGGAGAGGGAAGCGGAAUUCCCGGUGUAGUGGUGAAAUGCGCAGAUAUCGGGAGGAACACCAAUGGCGAAGGCAGCUCGCUGGGACGGUACUGACGCUGAGACGCGAAAGCGUGGGGAGCAAACAGG